rnacentral:rRNA from 1 species
UUUGGUGGCGAUAGCGGAGGGGUUCCACGCGUACCCAUCCCGAACACGACCGUUAAGCCCUCCAGCGCCGAUGGU